rnacentral:rRNA from 1 species
UACAGAGGUCUCAAGCGUUGUUCGGAUUCAUUGGGCGUAAAGGGUGCGUAGGUGGCGGGGUAAGUCAGGUGUGAAAUCUCGGGGCUCAACCCCGAAACUGCACUUGAUACUGCCUUGCUCGAGUACUGGAGAGGAGAUUGGAAUUUACGGUGUAGCAGUGAAAUGCGUAGAUAUCGUAAGGAAGACCAGUGGCGAAGGCGAAUCUCUGGACAGUUACUGACACUGAGGCACGAAAGGCCAGGGGAGCAAACGGG